rnacentral:rRNA from 1 species
UACGUAGGGGGCGAGCGUUGUCCGGAAUUAUUGGGCGUAAAGAGCGUGUAGGCGGUCCGGUAAGUCCGCUGUGAAAGUCCAGGGCUCAACCCUGGAAUGCCGGUGGAUACUGCCGGGCUAGAGUCCGGAAGAGGCGAGUGGAAUUCCUGGUGUAGCGGUGAAAUGCGCAGAUAUCAGGAGGAACACCAAUGGCGAAGGCAGCUCGCUGGGACGGUACUGACGCUGAGACGCGAAAGCGUGGGGAGCAAACAGG